rnacentral:rRNA from 1 species
GAUGAACGCUGGCGGCGUGCCUAAUACAUGCAAGUCGAGCGAACAGACGAGGAGCUUGCUCCUCUGACGUUAGCGGCGGACGGGUGAGUAACACGUGGAUAACCUACCUAUAAGACUGGGAUAACUUCGGGAAACCGGAGCUAAUACCGGAUAAUAUAUUGAACCGCAUGGUUCAAUAGUGAAAGACGGUUUUGCUGUCACUUAUAGAUGGAUCCGCGCCGCAUUAGCUAGUUGGUAAGGUAACGGCUUACCAAGGCGACGAUGCGUAGCCGACCUGAGAGGGGGGUCGGCCACACUGGAACUGAGACACGGUCCAGACUCCUACGGGAGGCAGCAGUAUGGAAUCUUCCGCAAUGGGCGAAAGCCUGACGGAGCAACGCCGCGUGAGUGAUGAAGGUCUUCGGAUCGUAAAACUCUGUUAUGAGGGAAGAACAAAUGUGUAAGUAACUAUGCACGUCUUGACGGUACCUAAUCAGAAAGCCACGGCUAACUACGUG